UCUCUCUCCUCCUCUGUUUAUCCGGGUCGCGUAGGUCUUUGAGGGGGAGGUGGAGAGGGCCGACUAAGGGUUUGGAGUGGAAGAUUUCGAGGGUGAGGAAAGAGUCGUGGAGGGAGAAGCAGAAGGGGAGAGCGAAGCGCUCAUUCCAGACGGAUCGAGUGGAGUUGGAGUCGUCGGAUUUGGUGGCGAGGCGGAGGUCGGGGUAGACCCAGAAGAUGGCGUAGGGAUUGAGGUCGUCGUUCUUCCAGUUGACGUUCUUCAUAUGCUUGGCAGAGAUGAUCGUGAAGUCGAGAUCGGGAGGCUUUGGCGGCAGAGGGCGAGAUAAGGCCAUGGUAGUGGUGGUGGUUGUGGCGCUAACUUGUGUGGGUGAAGCGCGUGAAGAGGAUGGUGAUGCCCGGUUUUAGAGAGCUGGAAGAAAUGAUAUUUCAGAUUCUCUCCUCCCCUUAAAUUUCAGUUGAAGAAGGAAGAGAGCGAGUCAGAGAGGGAGAGCUCACUCACUGAGUCAACUCGGAAGGAGAAGAAGAAAGAUGUUCCAACCCAACAACAACCAGAAUUUGAAAGAAUCGUAGCAUUGGGAACAUGAUAAUUCAAAUGCAAUAAUCUCGUCGCCAUUGGUUUUUGGCGCGUUGAAAUUCGUAGAAGAUGAACUUGAAUUGUUGUAAACGUUGUUGUAAUCUGUAAUUUUGUGAAUUCUGAGUUGUUUUUUGUGACUGGGUUUUCAUGAAUUUCCUCUCUUUUGAGCUCUGGAAUUUGAUUUUUGAGUCGAUUUUUGUUUCGAAUGAAA